UACGGAGGGUGCGAGCGUUGUCCGGAAUCACUGGGCGUAAAGGGCGCGUAGGCGGCCUGAUAAGUAGGGGGUGAAAUCCUCGGCUUAACCGCAGGGCUGCCUUCUAAACUGUCAGGCUCGAGCACAGUAGAGGCAGGUGGAAUUCCCGGUGUAGCGGUGGAAUGCGUAGAGAUCGGGAAGAACAUCAGUGGCGAAGGCGGCCUGCUGGGCUGUUGCUGACGCUGAGGCGCGACAGCGUGGGGAGCAAACAGG
rnacentral:rRNA from 1 species